GCCCUUCGGGGUGGAUUAGUGGCGAACGGGUGAGUAACACGUGGGCAAUCUGCCCUUCACUCUGGGACAAGCCCUGGAAACGGGGUCUAAUACCGGAUACCACUCCUGCCUGCAUGGGCGGGGGUUGAAAGCUCCGGCGGUGAAGGAUGAGCCCGCGGCCUAUCAGCUUGUUGGUGGGGUAAUGGCCUACCAAGGCGACGACGGGUAGCCGGCCUGAGAGGGCGACCGGCCACACUGGGACUGAGACACGGCCCAGACUCCUACGGGAGGCAGCAGUGGGGAAUAUUGCACAAUGGGCGAAAGCCUGAUGCAGCGACGCCGCGUGAGGGAUGACGGCCUUCGGGUUGUAAACCUCUUUCAGCAGGGAAGAAGCGAAAGUGACGGUACCUGCAGAAGAAGCGCCGGCUAACUACGUGCCAGCAGCCGCGGUAAUACGUAGGGCGCAAGCGUUGUCCGGAAUUAUUGGGCGUAAAGAGCUCGUAGGCGGCUUGUCACGUCGGAUGUGAAAGCCCGAGGCUUAACCUCGGGUCUGCAUUCGAUACGGGCUAGCUAGAGUGUGGUAG
rnacentral:rRNA from 2 species